AGUGAACGCUGGCGGCGUGCCUAAUACAUGCAAGUCGAACGGAGUGGCGCACGGGUGAGUAUUGUAUAGCUAAUCUUCCUUACACUAGAGGACAACAGUUGUAAACGACUGCUAAUACUCUAUAGUGUAGGAUGAGGCUAUAUUGUAUCAGCUAGUUGGUGAGGUAAUGGCUCACCAAGGCUAUGACGCAUAACUCGUGUGAGAGGAUGAUCAGUCACACUAGAACGGAGACACGGUCCGGUGUCCUACGGGAGGCAGCAGUACGGAAUAUUAGUCAAUGGGGGAAACCCUGAAGCAGCGACGCCGGGUGGAGGAUGACACUUUUCGGAGCGUAAACACGUUGUGAUAGGGAAGCGGUACCUAACGAAUAAGCACCGGCUAACGCCGUGCCAGCAGCCGCGGUAAUUC
rnacentral:rRNA from 1 species